AGAGGUUGAUCCUGGGUGAGAUUGGACGCUGCACGGAAUGCUUUACACAUGCAAGUCGAACGGCAGCACGGAGAGCUUGCUCUCUGGUGGCGAGUGGCGAACGGGUGAGUAAUAUAUCGGAACGUGUCCAAUAAUGGGGGAUAACGAGUCGAAAGAUUCGCUAAUACCGCAUACGCCCUACGGGGGAAAGCAGGGGAUCGUAAGACCUUGCGUUAAUGGAGCGGCCGAUAUCUGAUUAGCUUGUUGGUGAGGUAAAGGCUCACCAAGGCGACGAUCAGUAGCUGGUUUGAGAGAACGACCAGCCACACUGGAACUGAGACACGGUCCAGACUCCUACGGGAGGCAGCAGUGGGGAAUUUUGGACAAUGGGGGCAACCCUGAUCCAGCCAUUCCGCGUGAGUGAAGAAGGCCUUCGGGUUGUAAAGCUCUUUCGCGAGGGAAGAAAACUUAUGAUCGAAUAAAUCAUGAGGUUGACGGUACCUUGAUAAGAAGCACCGGCUAACUACGUGCCAGCAGCCGCGGUAAUACGUAGGGUGCGAGCGUUAAUCGGAAUUACUGGGCGUAAAGCGUGCGCAGGCGGUUUUGUAAGUCGGAUGUGAAAUCCCCGGGCUCAACCUGGGAACUGCGUUCGAAACUGCAAGGCUAGAGUGUGUCAGAGGGGGGUAGAAUUCCACGUGUAGCAGUGAAAUGCGUAGAGAUGUGGAGGAAUACCAAUGGCGAAGGCAGCCCCCUGGGAUAACACUGACGCUCAUGCACGAAAGCGUGGGGAGCAAACAGGAUUAGAUACCCUGGUAGUCCACGCCCUAAACGAUGUCAACUAGUUGUUGGUAGAGUAAAAUCUAUGAGUAACGUAGCUAACGCGUGAAGUUGACCGCCUGGGGAGUACGGUCGCAAGAUUAAAACUCAAGGAAUUGACGGGGGCCCGC
rnacentral:rRNA from 1 species